rnacentral:rRNA from 1 species
AAUGAACGUUGGCGGCGUGGAUUAGGCAUGCAAGUCGAGCGAGAAUUUGCGAUUGGAAGCUUCGGCCGAAGAAAGUGAAGGAAAGCGGCAAACGGCGUAGUAAGGCGUAGGUACGUACCCUCGGGUCGGGAAUAGCCAUGGGAAACUGUGGGUAAUGCCCGAUAAUCUCUGCGGAGCAAAGGUGUGAUUCCGCCGGAGGAGCGGCUUACGUGAUAUUAGCUAGUUGGUGGGGUAAUGGCCUACCAAGGCAACGAUGUCUAGGGGGUGUGAGAGCAUGGCCCCCACGACCGGAACUGAGACACUGUCCGGACACCUACGGGUGGCUGCAGUCGAGAAUCUUCCGCAAUGGGCGAAAGCCUGACGGAGCGACGCCGCGUGGUGGAUGAAGGCCCUUGGGUUGUAAACACCUGUCAGAGGGGAUGAAAUCAUGGUUGGCAAUCCUUCAUGUUGACAGAGCCUCAGAGGAAGCACGGGCUAAGUACGUGCCAGCAGCCGCGGUAA